rnacentral:rRNA from 1 species
UAUUAUGAGAGUUUGAUCCUGGCUCAGGACGAACGCUGGCGGCGUGCCUAAUACAUGCAAGUCGAACGCUUCUUUCCUCCCGAGUGCUUGCACUCAAUUGGAAAGAGGAGUGGCGGACGGGUGAGUAACACGUGGGUAACCUACCCAUCAGAGGGGGAUAACACUUGGAAACAGGUGCUAAUACCGCAUAACAGUUUAUGCCGCAUGGCAUAAGAGUGAAAGGCGCUUUCGGGUGUCGCUGAUGGAUGGACCCGCGGUGCAUUAGCUAGUUGGUGAGGUAACGGCUCACCAAGGCCACGAUGCAUAGCCGACCUGAGAGGGUGAUCGGCCACACUGGGACUGAGACACGGCCCAGACUCCUACGGGAGGCAGCAGUAGGGAAUCUUCGGCAAUGGACGAAAGUCUGACCGAGCAACGCCGCGUGAGUGAAGAAGGUUUUCGGAUCGUAAAACUCUGUUGUUAGAGAAGAACAAGGACGUUAGUAACUGAACGUCCCCUGACGGUAUCUAACCAGAAAGCCAC